GCUCCGGUGGCCUAAUGGUUAGAGCGUCCGCCUCGGAUGCGGGAGGUCGUGGGUUCGAUCCCCAAACGAGUCA